rnacentral:rRNA from 1 species
GAUGAACGCUGGCGGCGUACCUAAUACAUGCAAGUCGAGCGAACAGACGAGGAGCUUGCUCCUCUGACGUUAGCGGCGGACGGGUGAGUAACACGUGGAUAACCUACCUAUAAGACUGGGAUAACUUCGGGAAACCGGAGCUAAUACCGGAUAAUAUAUUGAACCGCAUGGUUCAAUAGUGAAAGGCGGUUUUGCUGUCACUUAUAGAUGGAUCCGCGCCGCAUUAGCUAGUUGGUAAGGUAACGGCUUACCAAGGCGACGAUGCGUAGCCGACCUGAGAGGGUGAUCGGCCACACUGGAACUGAGACACGGUCCAGACUCCUACGGGAGGCAGCAGUAGGGAAUCUUCCGCAAUGGGCGAAAGCCUGACGGAGCAACGCCGCGUGAGUGAUGAAGGUCUUCGGAUCGUAAAACUCUGUUAUUAGGGAAGAACAAAUGUGUAAGUAACUAUGCACGUCUUGACGGUACCUAAUCAGAAAGCCACGGCUAACUACGUG